UGGGCGAGGGGUGGGCUCCCAAAAGCGGAAGGGGAAAACAGCUCUGUUUGAGCCCACAAGUGGUGCCCUCAGUGCGGUCCCGCCUGAUUUUGAACAUGCUUAUUCCUCUGAUUCGCCCGAAACAUGCAUGUUGAAUAUGUGAAUUGUCAGAGCCGUCAUGAUAUUUUAUGAGACAAUCGUAAUAAAGAACAUAUAUAUAAAUGGAAGAGCACAUAGAGAAGAAAUCGAAAGAUAAUCGCUAGGUUACUUACCAAAGGGCUUACUUUGAAAGGAUUAUGUACUGAACAGUUUCCAAAAGAAAUGCAGAAUGAAAAUGUGAAUGUACAACAUAAAGGAGCAUAUACAGAGGAUUCAAUUAUGGGAAGGAGCAAUUAUGAAUCAAGACCU